AGUCGUAACAAGGUAUCCGUAGGUGAACCUGCGGAUGGAUCAUUAUAGGGUGUUGGGUAAUUGUGAGUGGUUUUAUUAUUAGUAGUUUGAGCGGUGUUGGUUGGGAUGCUUGCAGGAUUGCCAAGCAGGAUUGCCAAGCAGGAUUGCCAAGCAGGAUUGCCAAGCAGGAUUGCCAAGCAGGAUUGCCAAGCAGGAUUGCGAAGCAGGAUUGCCAAGCAAGACAGCCAACAUUGCCAGCCAACAUUGCCUCACGUUAAACUCUAUAAAUCUAACAAUUACAUACAAAAAAAAACAACUUUUAGCAACGGAUCUCUUGGCUCUC
rnacentral:misc_RNA from 1 species